GAUGAACGCUGGCGGCGUGCUUAACACAUGCAAGUCGAACGGAAAGGCCCAAGCUUGCUUGGGUGCUCGAGUGGCGAACGGGUGAGUAACACGUGGGUGAUCUGCCCUGCACUUUGGGAUAAGCCUGGGAAACUGGGUCUAAUACCGGAUAGGACCAUCGUUUAGUGUCGGUGGUGGAAAGUUUUUCGGUGUGGGAUGAGCUCGCGGCCUAUCAGCUUGUUGGUGGGGUAAUGGCCUACCAAGGCGUCGACGGGUAGCCGGCCUGAGAGGGUGUACGGCCACAUUGGGACUGAGAGACGGCCCAGACUCCUACGGGAGGCAGCAGUGGGGAAUAUUGCACAAUGGGCGCAAGCCUGAUGCAGCGACGCCGCGUGGGGGAUGACGGCCUUCGGGUUGUAAACUCCUUUCGCCAAGGACGAAGCGUUUUGUGACGGUACUUGGAGAAGAAGCACCGGCUAACUACGUG
rnacentral:rRNA from 1 species